rnacentral:rRNA from 1 species
AAUAGAUACCCAGGUAGUCCACGCCGUAAACGGUGGGUACUAGGUGUGGGUUUCCUUCCUUGGGAUCCGUGCCGUAGCUAACGCAUUAAGUACCCCGCCUGGGGAGUACGGCCGCAAGGCUAAAACUCAAGGGAAUUGACGGGGGGCCCGCACAAGCGGCGGAGCAUGUGGAUUAAUUCGAUGCAACGCGAAGAACCUUACCUGGGUUUGACAUGCACAGGACGCCGGCAGAGAUGUCGGUUCCCUUGUGGCCUGUGUGCAGGUGGUGCAUGGCUGUCGUCAGCUCGUGUCGUGAGAUGUUGGGUUAAGUCCCGCAACGAGCGCAACCCUUGUCCUAUGUUGCCAGCGGGUUAUGCCGGGGACUCGUAGGAGACUGCCGGGGUCAACUCGGGAGGAAGGUGGGGAUGGCGUCAAGUCAUCAUGCCCCUUAUGUCCAGGGCUUCACACAUGCUACAACGGCCGGUACAAAGGGCUGCGAUGCCGUGAGGUGGAGCGAAUCCUUGGUAAAGCCGGUCUCAGUUCGGAUCGGGGUCUGCAACUGACCCCG